UGCAGUCGAACGAUGAUCUCCAGCUUGCUGGGGGGAUUAGUGGCGAACGGGUGAGUAACACGUGAGUAACCUGCCCUUGACUCUGGGAUAAGCCUGGGAAACUGGGUCUAAUACUGGAUAUGACUGACUAUCGCAUGGUGGUUGGUGGAAAGCUUUUGUGGUUUUGGAUGGACUCGCGGCCUAUCAGCUUGUUGGUGGGGUAAUGGCCCACCAAGGCGACGACGGGUAGCCGGCCUGAGAGGGUGGACGGCCACACUGGGACUGAGACACGGCCCAGACUCCUACGGGAGGCAGCAGUGGGGAAUAUUGCACAAUGGGCGCAAGCCUGAUGCAGCGACGCCGCGUGAGGGAUGAAGGCCUUCGGGUUGUAAACCUCUUUCAGUAGGGAAGAAGCGAAAGUGACGGUACCUGCAGAAGAAGCGCCGGCUAACUACGUGCCAGCAGCCGCGGUAAUACGUAGGGCGCAAGCGUUAUCCGGAAUUAUUGGGCGUAAAGAGCUCGUAGGCGGUUUGUCGCGUCUGCCGUGAAAGUCCGGGGCUUAACUCCGGAUCUGCGGUGGGUACGGGCAGACUUGAGUGAUGUAGGGGAGACUGGAAUUCCUGGUGUAGCGGUGAAAUGCGCAGAUAUCAGGAGGAACACCGAUGGCGAAGGCAGGUCUCUGGGCAUUAACUGACGCUGAGGAGCGAAAGCAUGGGGAGCGAACAGGAUUAGAUACCCUGGUAGUCCAUGCCGUAAACGUUGGGCACUAGGUGUG
rnacentral:rRNA from 1 species